rnacentral:rRNA from 1 species
GACAGAGGCCUCGAGCGUUAGGCGGAAUCACUGGGCUUAAAGCGUGUGUAGGCGGAUCGUUAAGUACCUUGUGAAAUCCCACGGCUCAACCGUGGAACGGCUGGGUAUACUGGCGGUCUUGAGCCACCUAGGGGCGAGCGGAACAAACGGUGGAGCGGUGAAAUGCGUAGAUAUCGUUUGGAACGCCAAUGGUGAAGACAGCUCGCUGGGGGUGUGCUGACGCUGAGACACGAAAGCCAGGGGAGCGAACGGG